UUUUUUUUUUUUUUUUUUUUUUUGAGACGGAGUCAUGCUCUGUCGCCCAGGCUGGAGUGCAGUGGCCGGAUCUCAGCUCACUGCAAGCUCCGCCUCCCGGGUUCACGCCAUUCUCCUGCCUCAGCCUCCCAAGUAGCUGGGACUACAGGGGCCCGCCACUUCACCGGCUAGUUUUUGUAUUUUUAGUAGAGACGGGGGUUUCACCGUGUUAGCCAGGAUGGUCUCGAUCUCCUGACCUUGUGAUCCGCCCGUCUCGGCCUCCCAAAGUGCUGGGAUUACAGGCUUGAGCCACCGCGCCCGGCCAAAGCCAUUCUUGACAACUGGAAUGGAAACUGAUUCCUUCAAUAAUUUGUUUCUGUCGCUCAUAUCAUGUGGCAUGUAUGGGUUGCCUUUUGGGUAUUUGUUUAGGUUUGUCUUUAAUGGUCUAUUGGGGUGUCUUGAGGCUCCAAGACAGGUAAAGUUAUUCACUCACUCAUUUGGGUAUUUGCUAGCACCCAGUUGUUGAGACAGAGCGGAAAAUAGAGUUUUUAAAGUCAUCAGCAUAAUAACUGGAUAUGUUGCCUGAGUCAAUAUAUGAAAAGUGAUCCAGGAGUAGGUUUUGAGGAAAGCUUGGAGUUCAAGUUUGGAAAGAGAACAAAGGACCAAUAAAGGAUACAGGGGAAGAUAGAGAGAUGCACCUGGUUCCAGACUGGAAAGCAGCAGGAAUCUACCUCGGGUUUCUCUAGAGCAGACUCUGGCAGCUGGGACCAGUCUGGUCAGACUGUAGUCCCCCUUCCUAUCUGGCCUCUCCCAUUUUCCUACAAUUUCCAGUUUCGUUGAAAAGUCUAAAUUGGAGCUAAGUUUCUUUUUUUUUUUUUUGAGACGGAGUCUCGCUCUGUCACCCGGGCUGGAGUGCAGUGGCCGGAUCUCAGCUCACUACAAGCUCCGCCUCCCGGGUUUACGCCAUUCUCCUGCCUCAGCCUCCCGAGUAGCUGGGACUACAGGCUCGCCAACUCACCCCGGCUAGUUUUUUGUAUUUUUUAGUAGAGACGGGGUUUCACUGUGUUAGCCAGGAUGGUCUCGAUCUCCUGACCUCGUGAUCCACCCGUCUUGGCCUCCCAAAGUGCUGGGAUUACAGGCUUGAGCCACCGCGCCCGGCCGGAGCUAAGUUUCUUAAUUUGCUGGGUAAGGUGAGGCUAAGGCAUAUUUCCAGUGACUAAUCAACUAACCUCUUCUUUUUCUUUGGUCCUCUGUUGGGGACUCCUGCAGUGUUAGACAAGAACUUCUUACAGGUCUUUUCGUGGAGGGACCAGCAAGUGGUAGGUUUUUUUUUUACUAAUCUGACCCCUUUUACUCUGGUCUGUCUCCUAGCUUAAAGUUGUUGCUUAUGUUUACUGGAGGGAGGGGCAUGUAUCUCUCUAGAGAGAAUAUUUAUAGAUGACCACUGAGAUGUGAUUUCAGCUGAAAUCUGAAGAACAAGGUGCUAGCCAAGAGUGUUCAGAUAGAGGGAACAGCAGGUGCUAAAGUCAGGUUGACAAGAGCUUGGGAUGUUCAGGAACUGACAGAAGACAGGCGGUUGAAGCCUGCUGAGCAGGACGAUAGAGAAGUAGGUGGAGCCAGGUGGUGCAGGACCUUACAGUUAUCCUAGAGACUGGGUUAUUUGGGACCAUGGGCAGCCACGGGACUUGGUCUGAUAUCAGACAGUGGCAGCAGAAGCAAGGAGGCUGCUGGGUUAGGGGUUGGCACAGCAGUCUGGGUGGGACAUGGUGGCAGAGAAUCGGUUUCAGAGUUGACGGGACUUGAUGCGCUGAAUGUGAGGGCAAGGUGGUGAGGGACAGAGAGGAAUGAAGGAUGCCUUCUAGGUAGGUGGCAAACAAUGGGAGAGGAAGAAGUUUGUGGAAGAAUCUGGAAUUUUUGAAUUGCCAUUUUGUCUUGCCCAGGAAACAUUGAAGAGCAGAUGGCAAAUGGGCAACUGGAUAACAAGCCUGGGCUUAGAGAAGCGUGGGAUGGAGUUAGACAUUCAGUGACUGUCAUGUCACCUGUGAACUCUGAGAAGACAAGAGGUUGGGAUCUCUGGCCACAGUGGGUAGAUUUGCAUCAGAUAGGAGGGGCCCUUCUUCCCUGACAGGGCAGUGCUAGGAGGUGAGUCUGUAGAUCUGUCAGGGAGGUAAGGGUAAGUGACUUCUUUUCUGGUGGCCCAGUUAACCUGAAGGGGGAAUAGGGUAAGACUGUUGAGUGCCCUUUUAGAGAUGUGUCCUCAUGAAUUUUGGGGGUAAACAGGCAUCCAUUGUGUGCCUCUGCCAAUCAUGUUGAGUGACCUUAGUGCAGACACAGAGAAGGUGAAUAGUUGGGUACAGCCAGGUUGAGAGAUGUGUCCAGUCUGUACUGUGGAGGGAGAGGGGAGUUGAACUGAGGAUAUUUAUGAAAGGGAGUGAGUAUAAUUUGGGACCCUUCACUCUGUCACCAGGCUGCAGUGCAGUGGCAUGAUUACGGCUCACUGCAACCUCUGCCUUCACUCUUGUAAGUGUGUGCUGUCAUCAUGUACACUUCAGUUUUGUUCAGAUGAGACUUUUCUGAAAGUGUCCUGCUGUUGCCCUUACGUACUGGCUCCAGGCAGGACAUGUAGCCAUGUAACUCAGCAGUCAGUGUGUCGACGGUGCAAACACAGGAUGCUUCCCAUGCUGGGGCUGGUAUUGGAAGUUUAGAACAAAUUUCCUAGUACUUAGUGAUGCCAGAGAUCUUAAGAGUUUAUACAGUAUAGUCCCGCCUCCCACUUUACAUAUCCCCUUUAUAGCGUCCUCAGCAGACUGCCUCUACUUGAACUUCCAUUGAUGGGGUACUCAUUACUCAAGGAGGCAACAUGUGGCAGCUGUCCGUGCCCUUCUUGUCCUCCAGUGGCGGCUCACCGUUAGAACUAAGGCUAAUGCUCAGGUGUCCUGCAUGGUAGUCCCUCUUUCAGGGGUUUUUCUUUUGCUGGCAGCCCCUGGGUGAGGGGCACGGGCAUUGCUAAAUCAGCAAAUGUGACUCAGAACUAUCUUCUCCAGUCAGAUGGCUUUUGAAGGAAGCUUUCCUAGUUCUUGAGUGUGGUCCCAGCACUGGACAUGGUCUGUUAGCACACUGGGACCUUUUCCUGCAACCAUUUACUGCGAUGUUGGACACUAUAGCAACUAGCUCCUUUUGGCAGAUACAUCACACUGUUGAUUCAGUUUGAUGUGAUCAGCACAAUCUGCCCAGACUUCUUCACAGAAGUAGCUAUUAUGCCAAGUCUUCUCCAGCUUGUGUAAGUAGAUUUUAGAUUCCUAAAUACUGAAUUUUACAUUUAUUGCUGUUAAUUUUUUUUUUUCUGAGAUGGAGUAUCACUCUGUCACACAAGCUGGAGUGCACUGGUGCAAUCUUAGCUCACUGCAACCUCCGCCUCCUGGGUUCAAGCGAUUCUCCUGCUCAGCCUCCCGAGUAGCUGGAAUUACAGGCAUGCGCCACCACACCUAAUUUUUGUGUUUUUCAGUAAAGACAGGGUUUCGCCAUGUUGGCCAGGCUGGUCUCAAACUCCUGACCUCAAGUGAUCCACCCACCUCGGCCUCCCAAAGUGCUGGGAUUACAGGUGUGAGCCACCGUGCCCAGCCUGUUAUUAAAUAUUUUUAACCAACAAUUUUAACCUAAAAAGAGCUUUAAAAAAAAUAUUGAUUCUAUACCGCAAUACACUAGUUGUCCAUCCCAAUGUUGUGUUAUUUUUAAUUUUGAUAAACUGUCUUCUGUGUUUUCAUCUUAUCCAAAGGGAUAUCCUGAGAGAUUUUAAUAACAUCCAGAUUUACGAUAGACAUCUGGUAGCCCUAUCAAAAAAGGAAAUAAAGUCGUUUG
ensembl:lncRNA